UUUUUAAUGCCCACUAUCUUUCUUUUUUAGGAUUCUUACCCUUUUCUAAAAAAUGAUUGUGGGCAUGCAAAA
rnacentral:ncRNA from 1 species